rnacentral:lncRNA from 13 species
CUAAGAAACAAGGUUAAUGAAAUUGAUUACUUGCUAGCAAUAGAAAGCAUUCGUAUACUGGCUAUCUCUGAAACUUACUUAGAUAAUUCCUUUGAUACAUUGGUAGAAAAAUAUAGUUAUAACAUCUACAGAAGAGACAGGAUUGCCAAGGGCACAAAUUACUGAUGAUUGGCUAAAAGAACUUGAUAAUAAUAAGAUUGUGGGAGCUGUUUUUUUAGACUUCAGUGCAGCCUUUGAUAUCAUUGAUCAUAACAUAUUGCUGGAAAAAUGUAGAUCAUUAUUGAUCAUGGAUUGACAGUGAAGUAUCCAAUAAAACACAAAGGGUUUUCUUUAAUGGAUGCCUCUCUAAUGCACAUUCGGUUGAGUGUGGUGUAACGCAGGGCAGCCGGAUUGGACCAUUAUUGUUUUCUGUGUUCACUAAUGACCUUUCGCUGACCUUCAAUAAAGUCUAUAUGUCCAGGUACGCUUACGACUCAACAGUAUAUACUUUACAUAGAGCUCCAGUCAGUUUUAGAAUGGUAACUAGCAAUAGGCUGGUGCUAAAUAUCUAAAAAACUAAAAGCACCAUUUUUGGGACAAAUUGCUCGCUCAACCCUAAACCUCAUCUGGAUCUAUUAUUGAAUAAUGUGGCAAUUGAGCAAGUUGAAGAGACAAAACUAAUGGGUGUCACCCUAGAUAGCAAGCUAUCGUAGUCAAAACAUAUACUCAAUGGCUACUAAAACGUGAAGAGUUCUGUUAUUAAUGAUAAGGCUUUGCUCUGCUUUAAUGAUAUCUCAGUCGACCUGAGGCCCUAGUUUUGUCGCACCUGUCAUGUAUUGUCAUGUUGUGUCUUGUUUCUGUCCUUUCCCUUCACCCUGUCUCCCUCUGCUGGUCGUUAUUAGGUUACCUUUUCUCCCCCUCUUUCCCCCAGCUGUUCCUUGUCUCCUCCUAACUACCUCGUCACCCCUUUUCCCACCUGUUACCUUUUCUCCCCCUCUUUCCCCCAGCUGUUCCUUGUCUCCUCCUAACUACCCCGUCACCCCUUUUCCCACCUGUUCCCUUUUUCCCUCUGAUUAGUCCUCUAUAUCUCUCUCUGUUUUUGUUCCUGUCUUUGUCGGAUUCUUGUUUGUGUUUUUCAUGCCUGAACCAGACUAUCGUCAUGUUUGCUGCAACCUUGUCCUGUCCUGUCGGAAUCUGCCGGUCCAUCUGAGCCUACCUAUGUUUUGUUAUUAAAGAAGUUCUGUUUACGUUAAUUCGCUUUUGGGUCCUCAUUCACGCACCGUGACAGCACCAGUUUUAUGGUCAGGUGUGGCAAAGAAGGACAAAGGCAAAUUGCAGUUGGUCCAAAACAGAGCAGCACGGACUGUACUUAGAUGUACACGGAGGGCAAAUGUCAAUGACAUGCAUGUCAAUCUCUCCUGGCUCAGAGUGGGGGAGAGAUUGACUGCAUCACUAUUGGUCUUUGUGCUAGGUGUUGAAGGUACUGAACUGCAGGUACAAGCAGUUGGCACACAGUUCGGACACUCAUCGGUAUCACACAAGAAAUGCAACCAGACGUCUCUUCACAGUCCCCAGGUCCAGAACAGAGGCUGGGAAACACACAAUAUUAAAUAGAGCCAUGACUAAAUGGAACUCUCUGCCACCCCAGGUAACUCAAGCUAGCGAUAAAAACAGAUAAAAAAAACAGAUAAAAGAUCACCUUACAGGUCCUUUAAGGAAAUCAGUCAAUUGAAAUAAAGAAAUUUGGCCCUGAUCUAUGGAUUUCACAUCACUGAGCAGGGGUUCAGCCAUAUGCCUGGGAGGACAUAGGCCCACCUACUGAGGUGCCAGGCCCAGCCAAUUAGAAUGAGUUUUUCCCCACAAAAGGGCUUUAUUACAGACAGAAAUACUCCUCUCUAAAACGACGUUGGAGGCAUCUAAUGGUAGAGAAAUUAACAUUCAAUUAUUUGCUCUGGUGAACAUUCCUGCAGUCAGCAUGCCAAUUGCACGCUCCCUCAAAACUUGAGACAUCUGUGGCAUUGUGUUGUGAGACAAAACUGUACAUUUUAAAGUGGCCUUUUACUGUCCCCAGCACAAGGUGCCCUUGUGUAAUGAUCAUGCUGUAUAAUCAGCUUCUUGAUAUGCCACACCUGUCAGGUGAAUGGAUUAUCAUGGCAAAGGAGAAAUGCUCACUAACAGGAAUAUAAACACAUUUGUGCACAACAUUUGAGAGAAUUAAGCUUUUUGUGAGUGUUGAACAUUUCUGGGAUUUUUUAUUUCUGCUCAUGAAACAUGGGACCAACACUUUACAUGUUGCGUUUAAAUUUUUGUUCAGUAUAUAUUUAUGUAUAUUAUGUAUUUUAUUUGUUGUGUUGUUUCCUGUUUGGACCACAGGAAGAGAAGCCAUUCAUCGGCAGCAGCUAAUAGAGGAUCCUAAUAAAUACUAAAAUACUAAGUAAUACUGAAUAAAAAGAAUACAGAUUUUUAUCCGGAAUUGAAAGUGUUAUUUUUGGGACAAAUCGAACAUAACGCAUCACUGAGUACUCAUAUUAACAAGAAUGGUGGUGGCUGCAUCAUGUCAUGGCUAUGCUUGUUAUCGACAAGGUCUACAGAGUUUUUUCAGAUAAAAAUAAACAGAAUACAGCUACAAGCAAAGGCAAAAUCCUAGAGGAAAACCUGGUUGUCUGCUUUCCAACAGACACAGGGAGACUAACGCACCUUUUAGCAGGACAAUAACUGAAGAAAAGGUCAAAUCUACCCUGGAGUUGCUUACCAAGACAACAUUGAAUGUUCCUGAGUGGUCUAGUUACAGUUUUGACUUAAAUCAUCUUGAAAAUCUAUGGUAAGACUUGAAAAUGUCUGUGUAGCAAUGAUCAACAAUAAACUAGACAGAGCUUGUAUAAUUUUAAAAAGAAUAAUGGACAAAUAUUUUACAAUCCAGGUGUGCAAAGCUCUCUUACUCUGAGACUGUGAAUAUGGGCCCAGACGUGCAGCUCAGUCAGUGGGCCCACAUACUGGGGGUUUGAUAUCAUUGGCUGGCUGGCUGUCCCCUUAAACUGUGAACAGGCUGAAUCUGGGUCCAGCCUAGUGGGUGUCAGAUAUCGCCUCCAUCAGCUGAGAGCAGAAAGCAUUGCCAAGGCACAUCUACAUUCUGUGGCUUUGAAAUCAUUGUCUAGCUCUGCUGUCCCUAGUAUGAAAAGUGGUGGAGGUGGCUCCUUCUGGAUACUGUCUCUACUUUCUGGAUACUGUCUCUACUUUUGCACCACUUUUGGAUUAGCCACAAGUGGUGCCCUUUCGAGAGGAAGGUAUGAACCAUGCCAAAACAAUUAGGAUUUUAAUUUAUCAUUAAAGAUUGUUUUAUAUCGUAUUUUAUCAUUGAUGUGAUGCCAGUUAUAAGAGCAGUAUCUUCCCUUCUUGUGACCCUUUCCACUAAGCAAAACAUUUAUUUGUAUUUGUAAUGCUAUUAAGAUGAAUUCCAAAUGGUAAUGAAUUUCAAUAUGAUGUUCUGCCCUUUACAGUCUUGAGUACAUUAAAUAUGUGACACAUGACUGUGGUAGUUUACAGAGAACUUGACAGAUAGAAAUACUCCAAUUACUUAGCCUUUAAUAGUAAAGUAUUUCUGAUCGAUUUUCAUACAACACACCCAACAUUCAAAAAGGAGACAAAAUACAAUGGCAAUACACUAUCAGCAAAGACGGUUGAAGUCAAAAGGUCACAUGACUGAACAAAACCCAGAAGUCCUUUUUUUUUAUAGCAGCUUUCUUUCAUGGAAAAUACCACUGGCCCAUUGGCCUAAUGUUCCCAUAAAAUAUAUGAAUAAUAACAUCAAAUAUGUUGAGGAAAGAGUUCAAAUAAAUACAUCACAUGCAGGGUGUUUUGUGGGUAAGAUGUGUUCCCGUCUCUGAACGCUAAGUAGGUGUAUUUCCCCUGUGCAGAUGUAGUCUGUUGAGCUUCCAAACAUGUUGAAUGCAACUGUUCUGUUCACCUAUGUGUGUCUGUGUCUGUGUGCUUUAGCUCUGCCAGCCUGGUUUAACUGAUAAACAUCAGUCUGGUACGCACGCUUUUACAAAAAGAUAGGGGUCAAGGUAUUGAGAGAGGAGGGAGAGGGGGAGAGAGAGACAAAGAGAGGGUAUCACCAAUGCAAUGUAUUGUCUUAUGCGUCAUUCCUCAUCAUGCAUAUCUUUUUGCAAAAGCUUACUGUGUGCACAUGUUCNNNNNNNNNNNNNNNNNNNNNNNNNNNNNNNNNNNNNNNNNNNNNNNCACACACAUACACACACACACACACACACACACACACUUAUUUUCUCUAACUCUCACUUACAGUGGCAACUCAUGCGAUGUUAUCCCCUGUGUGACGGUGUAAAAUCGGUCAAAGCAGUGAGGUAGGCCAACUUUCAGCACGUGUGCAGAAAGAAAGAAUCCACACUUUUACCUCUUUGAGUUCCACUAAAUGACAACAUAGGUAAAAAUCUUCACAACUCUUUGAGACAUACACACACACAUGCACGCA